GCCUGGCUGGUUUAGUUGGUAGAGCAUGGGACUCUUGAUCUCAGGGUUGUGAGUUUAAGCCCCACAUUGGGCA
rnacentral:tRNA from 1 species